GACGUAGGGGGCGAGCGUUGUCCGGAUUUAUUGGGCGUAAAGCGCGCGUAGGCGGUCGGGUAAGUCGGGUGUGAAAAUCCGGGGCUCAACCCCGGACCUGCAUUCGAUACUGCCGGGCUGGAGGCAGGUAGGGGAGAGUGGAAUUCCUGGUGUAGCGGUGAAAUGCGCAGAUAUCAGGAGGAACACCUGAGGCGAAGGCGGGUUGCUAGGCUGACACUGACGCUGAAGCGCGAAAGCCAGGGGAGCAAACGGG
rnacentral:rRNA from 1 species